GGGAAAGCAAGCUCUGUCGAUAGGUCUACUAGCAACAGCCCUGCUGCAGCAAGAGAGAGAGAGAGCUCAUGAAAGAGAAGUGAUAACAACAUUGGGAAGCAUGCUUCCUUUACCCAUACAGCAUAUUUUUUAAAAAAAGAACCGCUAUUUUGAAGCUUGUUUGGUACCAGCAGAUUUUGUCCACUGAUGAUACCGGAAAGAUGCAACGCAGUUAAUCCCGCAAGGGGGGGCAUACAUAGGAAGGGUUAAUGGGAGGAAAAUUCUGGAAUGUUCUAUCCUGCGGCGGCGCAAACAGAGGGUUGAGGACUGCACAGGUGUAGAUGAACAGAAUUCGUGGUUCCUCUUUUUCCUUACGUGCACCACUUCUCUCUCUCUCUCUCUUUCCCUCCCCCUCGCCCCCGGUGUGAGCCCUUGCUCUGCAGAGCUGUCUCCUCCAGAGGCAGUCUUGCAUCCUGCAGUGCUAGUUCCGCAGAGGAAGGCAACAGGAGGCACAACUGCGAUGGCUGCUCCUGGGAAGGGACCGACUUGGUGCUGAGAUCAUGCUUGUUCCUGGCAGGACUUGGAGACUAUAAUGCAGCUGGAAUUCUUACCUCAUGAACAAUCUUAUAUCAGAUGCGCAACAGACCACAAAGUUUGGAGAGAAUGAUGCCUAAUAGCAGGAAUUCUGUCUCGUCUGGUAGAUGAUGCUUGCCAUUCCUUCAUCCCAUCAAAACCUGAUGUGGUUGGCUAUACCUUGCUGUUACAGCUCGAGUGGAAAGCUGCCACGUAUCUUUGCCGAAUAAAUCUAAGGACGAGAAAUGUUUCAGAUUCCAUUAGUUUUGCUCCUCAAGUUUCAAGUAGCUGAAAUACCAAUGCUUGUACUGAUACAAGGAUGGCUACCUUCAUUGUUAGUGCCCUACAAAAAUUGACGUAUGAGCCUAUGGUCAAUUUAUAAGAGACCAUCAAGAAACUGAUACAUCAAGAACAAUGAUGCGAUCAACAGAAAGUUAACACUGCUAACGAUGCCGAAACCUCUUUUUCAAAUCGCCACAUUACAGCUGGUUCAGAAGGGCCCCUUCAUAAUUCUGCAUUGAUGGAAUGAAGUUAGCAACUUAAGUUAUUUAUCUGAUACUUUCCUAAAACCUAAAGUACUCCAUGUGAAUAAGCUGUAACCUGACAUUCAAAGGGGAAAUCUAAAUAUGUCUGUGUGCACAAAAGAUAUGGAAGAAUGGCUAUGCCUGACUUGUAUGCUAAAAGCACAAAAGAUGAGCUACAUGCAGUGGCUGUGGCACCAGUCCAGGCAGCUCAGAUAGCCAAAAUUUUAUUGCGCCAUGCCACUGCUUCUUCUAACAAGCCAGGCAGAACCACCCCUGGGCUACCCACUGAAUCCUUCUACUCAGCCACAGGAAAGCAUACCAAGUUGAUUGCAUGAGAAAUAAAUCACAUGUCAGCUCUCCAUUUGAUAGUCAGCACCUUCACUGUGUUGCUGGUCCUCAAACCUGACAUAGCUAUCUAUAAGCAAAAUGCAUUUAGCCAACCAAACUUACUCCAUGCGAAGGCUAGGUGAACUUAGACAGACUAGCAAAGGGAAGGCAAUAUCGCCACCAUUUUCUAAUGGUGUACUUUCCUGAGAAAUACUGUUUGAUGUGUUUACCCUCAAACCAGCUUCAGUCCAAAAGGAGAAGUUAUGCCACGUUUGCUUUGUAGUUAAGGUGAGGUGUGUAUAUUGGAGACAGCCAUUGGGGCAGUUGCAGGAGUGGCAAAACAAAUAGGUAACACAACUUGAAAUGCAGUGAGGAAAUGACCUUGCUGUGUUUUAAGCUGCUAAUGUGUAAGUAGCCCAAGUAUCCUACAGCCAAGCAUAGUGAAUGUUUGAUGAUGAUCCAGAACUAGCUACAUCUAAUUUUAAUGCAUCCAUCAUGGUAAAAACAGCUGUCUGUACUACAGAAGCUGGAUCCAAUGGGGUGAUGCAGAUGCUGGACAAAAUAAGCCCAUACCUG